GACGAACGCUGGCGGCGUGCUUAACACAUGCAAGUCGAACGGAAAGGCCCUGCUUUUGUGGGGUGCUCGAGUGGCGAACGGGUGAGUAACACGUGAGUAACCUGCCCUUGACUUUGGGAUAACUUCAGGAAACUGGGGCUAAUACCGGAUAGGAGCUCCUGCUGCAUGGUGGGGGUUGGAAAGUUUCGGCGGUUGGGGAUGGACUCGCGGCUUAUCAGCUUGUUGGUGGGGUAGUGGCUUACCAAGGCUUUGACGGGUAGCCGGACUGAGAGGGUGACCGGCCACAUUGGGACUGAGAUACGGCCCAGACUCCAACGUGAGGCAGCAGUGGGGAAUAUUGCACAAUGGGCGGAAGCCGGAUGCAGCAAUGCCGCGUGCGGGAGGACGGCUUUCGGGUUGUAAACCGCUUUCGCCUGUGACGAAGCGUGAGUGACGGUAAUGGGUAAAGAAGCACCGGCUAACUACGUG
rnacentral:rRNA from 1 species